rnacentral:rRNA from 1 species
UACGAAGGGUGCAAGCGUUACUCGGAAUUACUGGGCGUAAAGGGCUCGUAGGCGGCCAACUAAGUCGGAUGUGAAAUCCCCAGGCUCAACCUGGGAACUGCAUCCGAUACUGGAUGGCUUGAAUUCGGGAGAGGGAUGCAGAAUUCCAGGUGUAGCGGUGAAAUGCGUAGAUAUUAGGAAGAACACCAGUGGCGAAGGCGGCUCACUGGCCCGGUACUGACGCUGAGGCGCGAAAGCGUGGGGAGCAAACAGG